rfam:Ictidomys tridecemlineatus contig091259, whole genome shotgun sequence.
GACGAGGUGGCCGAGUGGUUAAGGCAUGGACUGCUAAUCCAUUGUGCUCUGGACUGUGGGUUUGAGUCCCACCCUCUUCA